rnacentral:rRNA from 1 species
AUGAUGAUGGAGGCUGUCGUGAAGACAGGUAUCCAGUCCACGCUUAAUAUCGUGCGUAGCGUGGGAAAUGAGAAUAAGAAGCUCAAAGGCCGGAUCAAUGGCCUCCUCAAGUCAUUGGAGAUUGAAGUCCGUAUGGCAAAGUGGGAUGAGAAGGACUAUGAGGGCGUUGAUCAGAAGCUGGCAGUGGAUAUGCAGGAGCUGCUUUUCGAUAUUGAUGACUUCUUAUGUGAUUUGUCUAUCCCGGAGGGAUUUGCCGCUUUUUGGCACAAUGCCCUUGGAAUGGAUUCCCGGAAUGAAGAUAUCUCCAUGAUCCAUUCUUUCAUCACCAGCGUCCAGAGCAUCCGGCAGCGGCAAGCCCAGAUCGGAUCCGGCGCAAAAGAAGUUGACAGCUCCUCCUCAUCGGCUGGAUCUCCUCCUGUUUAUGCUCGAGAGGCCGCUCUCGUGGGCUUCCCUGAGACAAAAGUCAACUUCCUCGAGCUGCUCUCUCCAGGGGUUGAUAAGCCGAGGGUGGUGUCCAUUGUGGGAUGCAACGGUGUGGGGAAGACUGCCCUUGCAAGGGCAGUCUUUGAAGAAGCCAGUACUGCAGACCAAUCUACACACGCAACCAAAAUUCUUCUAGACCGGUCGACAUACCAAAGUGAAAUCCAUGAAGAGUCUGCACCUGCAACAGAUGUCCCUGCAGCCAUUGCAUACGAUUGCAAAGCUUGGGUUGUGGCUUCGACGUGCAGCGACUGGGAGGAUCUUCUAAACAAGGUUCUCGAAGAAGUUGGUUCUAAAGAAGCGCCUCGGGACACCGCCAAAGUUCUCGAAAGUUUUCUGAAGGACAAAAGGUACUUGGUCAUUAUCGAUGAUUUGCAGCCAUAUGGUGUAAAAUGGAGGGAUAUAGAACAUGCCUUCCCUCAAAAUAAUAAGGGCAGCAAAAUUAUUGUCACCACAAAUGUUCAUUCCAUCGCCAAGACUUGCAGCCCUGGCAGUCAUUAUCUGUAUCCAAUGCAGUGCCUUAACCGAGAUCAUUCUAGUCAAUUAAUCUUGAACACUAUUCAUGGCAGUCGAAGCUAUGGUUUGGGUCUUUCAGAUGCUGAGAGUCUUUCAGAUGCUGAAAGACCUCGUCUCGAAAGAAUCUGUGAUAGAUGUGGAGAUUUACCGCUGGCGCUAAUCAGUGUGGCCAAUUAUAUGGGUGGGAAUGGACAAGAUUUAUCUGAAGAUGCCUGCAAGGAUGUGUGUGAAACACUCGGUAACUAUCUGAAAAGUAAGGAGAUGGAAUUUGAUGAACUGAAAAGAGCUCUUAUGCAGCGGUAUGAAAAGCUGCCAGACAAUGGUGAGAAGAACUGCUUGCUUUAUGUAAGUAUAUUCCCGAGGGGUUAUCAAAUAAGCUGGAAGAACCUAGCCAGAAGAUUAAUAGCUGAAGAAUUUGUUGUCGGAGAUGCUGAAAUGGAGAAGAAAAUAGAAGAUGUUGGAAGAUUGUUGAAACAGUUGAUUGACCGUAGCAUGAUUGAGCCAGUAAUGCCACGUAACAACUCCCAAAUUGCUAAGAGGUGUAAAGUUCACAGUGCAAUGCUGGAUUUCACCAUCCAGAAGUCUUUAUCAAAAAAUUUGGUUACUCUAAUUGCCAGGAAUGAUUAUCGGCAGGGUGACCACGAGGGCCGUGUUCGUCGACUAACUGUUGAGUCCAGCACCAGUUCUCAAUCUUAUGACUGCCUACGCAAGAAAAGCACACCUAAUUCUGAUGGAGAGCAAAGUAAGCUGCCGUCCGUGAGGUCAUUAACGAUGUUUAACAGUGAAAUUGUGGAUAUCCAGAGGUGCAAGUUCAUGCGGGUCUUGGACCUGGAAGGUUGCGGUGGGCUUGACAAGAAAAUUCUUGGUAAAAUAUGUGAAUUGGUGUUUCUCAAAUACCUCAGGCUCAGCAACUCUAACCUCAAGGAGCUUCCAGAAGAACUAGAGAAACUGAAGUAUCUACAGACGCUGGAUAUGGGAGACACAUUGAUACCAAUAUUACUGCCCCUGGUAGUCAUCAUGCUGCCAGAGCUAGUAUAUCUAUUUGGUCGGUUUCUGCUACCACUGUCAACUUCCGUAGAACUAAGCAAGCUGAAGAAGUUCUUGGAAAGUAGAAGUCAGCUACACACUCUAGCUGGAAUUGUUUUCAACGAGAAUGAAGUUCUGGCAACUAUUAUACAGAAAGCAAAGAACCUAAAGAAGGUUAAAAUAUGGUCCAUGGACACUUCCCCAAGUGGCACUAUAGACCCUGCUUCAGGGAGCAGUCAUCCUGAUGCGCCUACAGGCAACACUUCUGCUCUUGAUGCUCCGAAGAAAAUUCUUUCCACCGCUGCUGCUGGCAGCAAUGCCGCUCGUCACAUUGAUUCUCUGGCCCCAGGCAACAUUCCUGCUCUCGUCAGUCCUAGAAAAAGCAAACGUUGGUACAAUAAUGCUUUUUCUAGACUAUUAGGUGGGUCUGAGGUGUCUAAGCCUAACCAUGCCACUUUCAAUCGAAAGGCAACUUCAACUGAGCUCUCCGAUAACUCACCAUGCUUGCAACCCAGCUCUUCUAAACUUGAUGGGCCAGCGCCAAGUGAAACCUCGGUAGCAAAAAAAAGUCUGGCUGAUAUUUUUGUCUGCUCUGGAGUACUCGAAUCUCUGUACAUUGAAUCCAACGAUUUCUGCAACGUCUUUCUAGAUUCUUUAAAGGCUACUUGCCGUAUUGGUUCUAUCAAACUACGAGGCGAAUUGGUAUGUCUACCUCAACCUAAUAUACUGAAGGGGCUGCGCGGUCUGAGCAAAUUGCACCUCUAUUUAUCUGGUCUCAGCUGUCAAGCUUUAUCUGCCCUGCAAAACUUACUUUUCCUGGAGUAUCUAGCGAUUGUAGAGGAGAGGGAUGGGUCAUGGAAUGACAGCUUCAUUGUGGAAGAUACAGGAUUCCCUUGCCUUAAGGUGUUAUGCUUUGAGGGCCCAAAACAUCCACAUGUGGAGAUCAAACCCGGAGGAAUGCAACAUCUCACUUCUAUCAAGCUGCUUUGUAGAGAACUUCCUCCUGAUAAUGAUGGAAAUAAGGCGGCAAUCGAAUGCCCUCCUCGAUUCAAGGGCAUAUCGCAUCUUGCAAAACUCAACGAGGUGAUACUCCACCAUGAUGCUACUCGUGAAAAGUUGAAAUCUUGGAAAGAAGCAGCAAUGAGCCACGCAAACAUGCCCUGUGUGAGAAAGCAACCAGCACCUGAACCAAUCCUCAACGCAGCAUAG